GCGGCCAUAGCUCAGUUGGUAGAGCAUCAGCUUCCCAAGUUGAGGGUCGCGGGUUCAAGCCCCGUUGGCCGCUCCA
rnacentral:tRNA from 2 species